GAGGGGCAAGCGUUAUCGGAAUUAUUGGGCGUAAAGGGCGCGUAGGCGGCUUUGCAAGUGGCGGGUGAAAUCCCUCGGCUUAACCGAGGAACCGCCUGCCAGACUGUGAGGCUUGAGACCGGGAGAGGUGAGUGGAAUUCCCAGUGUAGCGGUGAAAUGCGUAGAUAUUGGGAGGAACACCAGUGGCGAAGGCGGCUCACUGGACCGGAACUGACGCUGAGGCGCGAAAGCGUGGGGAGCAAACAGGAUUAGAUACCCUGGUAGUCCACGCCGUAAACGAUGAGUGCUUGGUGUAGCGGGUAUCGACCCCUGCUGUGCCGACGUCAACACAUUAAGCACUCCGCCUGGGGAGUACGGUCGCAAGACUG
rnacentral:rRNA from 1 species